rnacentral:rRNA from 1 species
AUACGGAGGGUGCGAGCGUUAAUCGGAAUUACUGGGCGUAAAGGGUGCGUAGGCGGCUUGAUAAGUCGGAUGUGAAAGCCCCGGGCUUAACCUGGGAAUUGCAUUCGAUACUGUCAGGCUAGAGUAUGUCAGAGGUUGGCGGAAUUUCUGGUGUAGCGGUGAAAUGCGUAGAUAUCAGGAGGAACACCAGUGGCGAAGGCGGCUAACUGGGACAAUACUGACGCUGAGGCACGAAAGCGUGGGGAGCAAACAGGAUUAGAUACCCUAGUAGUCC